ACUAGAAAGACCAGGUGCCAGCCUCGUUUCAAGAUCACUCUGGGAUUGGCUGUCACUUUGCUGCAUGUGACCUGCGCAGUGGCGGCUGGUGGGUUGAUGACGCACUUCCGGGGAAGAAGCGGAAACAAAUGGUUCACCAUUAAGGCCUCCGUGGGCGGACAGACGUUCACAGAGGAGGUAGAAGUGGACCGGGAAAACGGUAUGGUGGUGUACCGUGAUGACGUCAACAAUAAAGAUGGGGAGGUCAUGCAAACUGAAGAGGAUGCCAGUGACGUACCAAGUUUUGACGUUGACCGAGUAAUCUUCGUAAACCGGUCAGUUCCGGUAAGCCCUGAAGAUGACGUCAUCCUUCGUUCACAACUGCCACCUGUGUGUCGUGACAUCACACUGUACCGUGUCCUUGAGUAGAACGCUCGAGAUAAUUUUGGGAGAGAAAGCAAAGAUGAAGUGAAAAUGGAGACAUCCCGAAGCCGCAUCAACCGGAACAUACCUAUAGCUAUCGAGUCAGGAGGGCCAUGCCAUGACAGCACGACUGGGUGUAUAAGGAUUAUUGAGGUCCAGGUUUUGCAAGAUAUAAGUCGUUCUCGACUUUGUCGACGUGCGAUCCGGAUGAUGUGUUUUUACAUGUUCAGGAGCAUCAUGAUAAUUCAUUAAUACGGUAAUUUUCAAGAGAAAAUUGUACUUUUCCGAAUUGAAAGUCUUUUUCAAUUAGAAGCGCAAUCUACAGCUUGUCUAGAAGUCAAUUAGAAUCAUAAGUAUUUAAUGUAAAUGGCUUCGUUUAAUAUCAGUUCCUCUUGCAAAACAGUUUCGUUUGGUUCUGUGUCUAAGAUUCCUACCUUUUCCGAUGUAGCUAAGUUCAGAGGUUGAUGAACUUAGAAGUUUGUGUCCAAGGAAUCCAUCUUAAGUGUUUAUUCAGUCUUUCCAAUGUAGCUUAUCUUGCACGAGUCCUUGAUUUUCUUUUACAGUUGCACUGAAUGUGAAACAAGCGUACGACUCUUCACUGUGUAAUUGAACUCU